GGUAUCUCCAGUGACCAGCAUAGUGCUUGAUUUGGUGCUAGUGUUAGAUCUGAAGUGAACUUCUGACAGCAUUCAGGGACAACAAGAAACACAGGCAUGGCACCUGCGAACACUUUUGAGUUCACCGUCUUUCUCGCCAUUUCCAAGGGCCAUUGGGCAAGUCAGCUUGAGCUGAUAAAGGAUUCUAAGCAUGGAAUUAGAAAAAGAUCAGGGUGAGCUGGGAUUCAUUAUGUGCAAAAACUGUGAGUGUCAGAAGGUAGGACUCAUCCUGCUACUUUGUUCUAGACUGGUUUAGUUGCUCACUUGAAUUGAUGUUGAUUUAUUUCAUGCGUUAUAUUUGGACCUAUGUUUUUAAUGCUGUCACUUUCUAUUAAAA
rnacentral:lncRNA from 1 species